AAUUUUUAGGCGUCAAAUGGUGAGGCUCCUUCUGUCGAUGAAAAAAAAAAAAAAAAAGCCUGUCAUUACAUUAGAUGGUAGACAGCAGGAACUCAAACAGCAGCAACUCAACACAGGCAGACUCCAGACCAGUACAGCCAAGGAGGAAGGGCGUUAACAUAGCACGUCCUGUUUAUAUCUUAAGAGCGGAGACAAAGAACUCUACCCAUUACAUGUCUUGACAUUGCAUCUGAAUAAUACAGCCAAUCUAAGCUACUGAGAAGUGAGAAAUACAAUAUCGAGGAUGGGGACUGCUGUGAGUGUGCAAGCUGCUUCUUAUGGUGGUUUUUCACUUUCGGGCUUGACUAUAUCCACCGGUGGUUUAGCGAUUAUUGGAGUUGUAGUAGUGGCAUCAGUGGGGGUAGGAGUGUAUGUGUACAGCCAAAACCAAAAGAGAAAAGAAAAGGGAUACUGACAGACGAGUUAAUUCCUCUCUGCAUGGCUCCACGCAGUGGCAACUGGUGCCUGUGAUUCGUCACUCUGAUCAUUUUCAUGUCCUGCAUUUUGUUGCCUUAUAAUCAAAGCCUCAUGAUGUUAUGAGGUGCUCUGCUGUUCCAUGUCGGUCUUUGACAGUCUUUGUUGUGAUUAUAUUUUCCUGACAACUAAGUGUGUCUAUGGAAUCAUAACUCUGAAAUAAAAAAAAACUGCAGACCAUCUGUGGUUUGAAAUACACUGA